AUUGAACGCUGGCGGCAGGCUUAACACAUGCAAGUCGAGCGAGCGGCGGACGGGUGAGUAAUGUCUGGGAAACUGCCUGAUGGAGGGGGAUAACUACUGGAAACGGUAGCUAAUACCGCAUACCAUCAGAUGCGCCCAGAUGGGAUUAGCUAGUAGGUGGGGUAAAGGCUCACCUAGGCGACGAGCCCUCGCUGGUCUGAGAGGAUGACCGGCCAAACUGGAACUGAGACACGGUCCAGACUCCUACGGGGGGGAGCAGUGGGGAAUAUUGCACAAUGGGAGCAAGCAUGAUGCAGCCAAGCCGCGUGUGUGAAGAAGGACUUCGGGUUGUAAAGCACUUUCAGCGAGGAGGCGUUACUCGCAGAAGAAGCACCGGCUAACUCCGGGCCAGCACCCGCGGUAAUAC
rnacentral:rRNA from 1 species